rnacentral:misc_RNA from 1 species
UUUACCAGUUGGGGCUUCUU